AGGUGAAGGUAGUCGGUCUCCCUGUCCUGUGUGCCGUGGGCCAAGCGUCUAAGCUUGGGUCCGGGCCGUCCGCGGCCCUCACUCCCCUCCCGCCAAGGGACGCGGCCCCCUCUGCGGCUUCCUCUAGACGUCGCUGCCUUGUCCUAAGUCAGCCUGCGUUCGAGCUGCCGAACCGAGGUUUCGUGCGGCUUCCUGGCGCGGUGACUCAUCCAGUCACGUGCGCCGUGGAGGCUGCGCCUUGCGGAGAUCUCCGCCCUGCCGAGAUGGCAGAGACCUUCCCGGGGCCGCCCUUGUCCUGCUGCCGUGUUCUGGUGCAGCUGUGCUGAGCUGAUAUCCUGUUGACUUUGAACUCUUCUCCGUUUUCUGCAUGCGCUUUGUCUCAUUCCUACGGGGUACCUGCUGCCAUCCGCUUGCUCUUUGGUUUGGAUGCCGGGUAGCCGUGCUGAGUCCCAACUCUGAUGCUCCUGCCUCCACCUUUCCAGUGCUGGCAUGGAAGGCGUAUGUCAGCACGUCCACCUUACACACACGUACCCACAUUUGAUUGCCUCUCCACUUGGAUCUUGCUGUUCUCGCUGAUCCCACAUUUAUCUGUACAUUGCGUCCAUCAGACGCAGUUUUGAGUGUCCCACACGGUGCCAGACUGAAGGUACAGCGAUAAGUAGGGUAAUAGGGACAUUGCUUGUAGAGGGCUCACGGGCUAUCCUGGGGUGACUGGUUGGAGGGAUGUUUUUGCAAGCUCCCUCUUGGCUGCAGUGUGGAAUGUUUGAGAAGAAGGUGUUGGGCCGGCAGGAAAAGUUAGUCCUGGGGUGAGGAUGAAUUCGAAUUUGGAAUGAGUGCCAGAACCUUUCUAGUUUCAAUUUGGCCAUAUUUUAUGGAGACCGCUCAGCAGUUAGGUCCAUGUACAGUUCUUCCGGACAAUCCGAGUUUAGAGUCCCACGUUAGGGACAGACUAUUUAUAACCCUAGCCCCAGGGGACCGAACACCCUCUUGCUUCCGUGGGCACUUGCACUCAUAUGUACAAAUCCACAUACAGAAACAAACACAUUUAAAAAAAUAAAAUCUUAAGGAG
rnacentral:lncRNA from 1 species